GCCCGCAUAGCUCAGUCGGUAGAGCAUCAGACUUUUAAUCUGAGGGUCGCGGGUUCGAAUCCCCCUGCGGGCG
rnacentral:tRNA from 1 species